UAAGGAAUAUUGGUCAAUGGACGCAAGUCUGAACCAGCCAUGCCGCGUGAAGGAUGAAGGUCCUCUGGAUUGUAAACUUCUUUUAUCUGGGACGAAAACGGGAUUUUUAUCUCAAUUGACGGUACCAGAGGAAUAAGCACCGGCUAACUCCGUGCCAGCAGCCGCGGUAAUACGGAGGGUGCGAGCGUUAUCCGGAUUUACUGGGUUUAAAGGGUGCGUAGGCGGACUAAUAAGUCAGUGGUGAAAGCCUGCAGCUUAACUGCAGAAUUGCCAUUGAUACUGUUAGUCUUGAGUACAGUUGAGGUAGGCGGAAUGUGUCAUGUAGCGGUGAAAUGCUUAGAUAUGACACAGAACACCGAUUGCGAAGGCAGCUUGCUAAGCUGUAACUGACGCUGAGGCACGAAAGCGUGGGGAGCAAACA
rnacentral:rRNA from 1 species